rnacentral:rRNA from 1 species
UACGUAGGUGGCAAGCGUUGUCCGGAUUUACUGGGUGUAAAGGGCGUGCAGCCGGGCCAGCAAGUCAGAUGUGAAAUCCGUGGGCUUAACCCACGAACUGCAUUUGAAACUGCAGGUCUUGAGUACCGGAGAGGUUAUCGGAAUUCCUUGUGUAGCGGUGAAAUGCGUAGAUAUAAGGAAGAACACCAGUGGCGAAGGCGGAUAACUGGACGGCAACUGACGGUGAGGCGCGAAAGCGUGGGGAGCAAACAGG